AUUGAACGCUGGCGGCAGGCUUAACACAUGCAAGUCGAGCGAGCCGCGGACUUGUGAUUAAUUUCUGGGAAACUUCCUGAUGGAGGGUGAUAACUACUGGAAACUGUAGCUAAUACCGCAUACCAUCAGAUGUGCCCAGAUGUGAUUAGCUAGUAGGUGGGGUAAUGGCUCACCUAGGCGACGAUCCCUAGCUGGUCUGAGAGGAUGACCAGCCACACUGGAACUGAGACACGUUCCAGACUCCUACGGGAGCCAGCAGGGGGGAAUAUUGCACAAUGGGCGCAAGCCUGAUGCAGCCAUGCCGCGUGUGUGAAGAAGGCCUUCGGGUUGUAAAGCACUUUCAGCGAGGAGGCGUUAAUCGCAGAAGAAGCACCGGCUAACUCCGUGCCAGCAGCCGCGGUAAUAC
rnacentral:rRNA from 1 species